rnacentral:rRNA from 1 species
GUAGGGGGGGCAAGCGUUGUCCGGAAUUAUUGGGCGUAAAGCGCGCGCAGGGCGGCUAUUUAAGUCUGGGUGUUUAAACCUUGGGGCUCAACCUGAGGUCGCACUGGAAACUGGGUGGCUUGAGUACAGAAGAGGAAAGUGGAAUUCCACGUGUAGCGGUGAAAUGCGUAGAGAUGUGGAGGAACACCAGUGGCGAAGGCGACUUUCUGGGCUGUAACUGACGCUGAGGCGCGAAAGCGUGGGGAGCAAACAGGAUUAGAUACCCUGGUAGUCCACGCCGUAAACGAUGAGUGCUAGGUGUUAGGGGUUUCGAUACCCUUGGUGCCGAAGUUAACACAGUAAGCACUCCGCCUGGGGAGUACGGUCGCAAAGACUG